rnacentral:misc_RNA from 1 species
GAUGAAGAACGUAGCGAAAUGCGAUAAGUAAUGUGAAUUGCAGAAUUCAGUGAAUCAUCGAAUCUUUGAACGCACAUUGCGCCCAUUAGCAUUCUAGUGGGCAUGCCUGUUCGAGCGUCAUUUCAACCCUUAAGCCCUGUUGCUUAGCGUUGGGAUCCUACAGUACUGUAGCUCCCCAAAGUUAGUGGCGGAGUCGGUUUCACACUCUAGACGUAGUAAUUUUUUCUCGUCUGUAGUUGAGCCGGUCCCCUGCCGUAAAACACCCAAUUUAUCAAGGUUGACCUCGGAUCAGGUAGGAAUACCCGCUGAACUUAAGCAUAUCAAUAAGCGGAGGA